UCGUGUCGUGAGAUGUUGGGUUAAGUCCCGCAACGAGCGCAACCCCUAUCCUUUGUUGCCAGCACGCAAUGGUGGGAACUCAAAGGAGACUGCCGCGGACAACGCGGAGGAAGGCGGGGAUGACGUCAAGUCAUCAUGCCCCUUAUGUCCUGGGCUACACACGUACUACAAUGGGAUGGACAGAGAGCAGCGAAGCCGCGAGGCCAAGCGAACCCCAUAAACCAUCUCCCAGUUCGGAUUGCAGGCUGAACCCGCCUGCA
rnacentral:rRNA from 1 species